UACGUAGGGUGCAAGCGUUAAUCGGAAUUACUGGGCGUAAAGCGUGCGCAGGCGGUUUUGUAAGUCUGUCGUGAAAGCCCCGGGCUCAACCUGGGAAUUGCGAUGGAGACUGCAAGGCUUGAAUCUGGCAGAGGGGGGUAGAAUUCCACGUGUAGCAGUGAAAUGCGUAGAGAUGUGGAGGAACACCGAUGGCGAAGGCAGCCCCCUGGGUCAAGAUUGGACGCUCGAUGCACGAAAGCGUGGGGAUCAAACAGG
rnacentral:rRNA from 1 species